GACGAACGCUGGCGGCGUGCUUAACACAUGCAAGUCGAACGGAGAGGCCCUGCUUUUGUGGGGUGCUCGAGUGGCGAACGGGUGAGUAACACGUGAGUAACCUGCCCUUGACUUUGGGAUAACUUCAGGAAACUGGGGCUAAUACCGGAUAGGAGCUCCUGCUGCAUGGUGGGGGUUGGAAAGUUUCGGCGGUUGGGGAUGGACUCGCGGCUUAUCAGCUUGUUGGUGGGGUAGUGGCUUACCAAGGCUUUGACGGGUAGCCGGCCUGAGAGGGUGACCGGCCACAUUGGGACUGAGAUACGGCCCAGACUCCUACGGGAGGCAGCAGUGGGGAAUAUUGCACAAUGGGCGGAAGCCUGAUGCAGCAACGCCGCGUGCGGGAUGACGGCCUUCGGGUUGUAAACCGCUUUCGCCUGUGACGAAGCGUGAGUGGCGGUAAUGGGUAAAGAAGCACCGGCUAACUACGUG
rnacentral:rRNA from 1 species